rnacentral:rRNA from 1 species
GAUGAACGCUGGCGGCGUGCCUAAUACAUGCAAGUCGAGCGAACAGACGAGGCGCUUGCUCCUCUGACGUUAGCGGCGGACGGGUGAGUAACACGUGGAUAACCUACCUAUAAGACUGGGAUAACUUCGGGAAACCGGAGCUAAUACCGGAUAAUAUAUUGAACCGCAUGGUUCAAUAGUGAAAGACGGUUUUGCUGUCACUUAUAGAUGGAUCCGCGCCGCAUUAGCUAGUUGGUAAGGUAACGGCUUACCAAGGCAACGAUGCGUAGCCGACCUGAGAGGGGGAUCGGCCACACGGGAACUGAGACACGGUCCAGACGACUAAGGGAGGCAGCAGUAGGGAAUCUGCCGCAAUGGGCGAAAGAUUGACGGAGAAACGCCGCGUGAGUGAUGAAGGUCUUCGGAUCGUAAAACUCUGUUAUGAGGGAAGAACAAAUGUGUAAGUAACUAUGCACGGCUUGACGGUACCUAAUCAGAAAGCCACGGCUAACUACGUG